rnacentral:rRNA from 1 species
GACGAACCGUGCGAACGUUGUUCGGAAUCACUGGGCUUAAAGGGCGCGUAGGCGGGUUUGCAAGUCUGUGGUGAAAUCCUCCAGCUUAACUGGAGAAGUGCCAUGGAUACUGCGGAUCUCGAGGAGGGUAGGGGCAUCUGGAACGGUCGGUGGAGCGGUGAAAUGCGUUGAUAUCGACCGGAACUCCGGUGGCGAAGGCGAGGUGCUGGACCCUUUCUGACGCUGAGGCGCGAAAGCCAGGGGAGCAAACGGG